CAUGCCACUGCACUCCAGCCUGGGCAACAAGAGCAAAGCUCCGUCUCAAAAAAAAAAAAAAAAAGGCAAAACCAUAACAAUAGGGUAGUCUUUAGUAAUAUACAAGGGUCAUACUAUGCUUGGAGUCAUAUGACUUUGGAUAUAGAUGUGUAACAAGAGUGGUUAUUUUACAGGCUUCAAUGUACUCUGAAGUCCACACAAAACACAAACUAUUCUGCUAUUCUGUCCAGUCUAAAAAUAGCCCUAUGAAAAAAAUAUAUAACAUUAACAAUGUGCUUCCCUUUUUAGAAUUCUGGAGAAUCAUGAGGAAAUUAUGUAUAAGAUCUAGGGCUCUUUUCAAAAUAAGCUUUUCAGAGAAUACUGAAAUAAUCCUUUCUCUUUCUUCAGAUAAAUCUCCCUGAAAGAAACAGAAAUACGCCAAGUAAUCCCAUUGAUCUUUUUCUUUUCUUUCCGGUUUUUUUUUUUUUUUUUUUUUUUUUUGAGAUGCUAGUCUUGCUCUGUCACCUAGGCUGGAGUGCAGUGGUACGAUCUCGGCUCACUGCAACCUCUGCCUCCCAGGUUCAAGCAAUUCUCCUGCCUCAGCUUCCCGAGUAGCUGGAAUUACAGGCAUUCACCACCAAACCUGGCUAAUUUUUGUAUUUUUAGUGGAGAUGGGGUUUCACCAUGUUGGCCAGGCUGGUCUCAACCUCCUGACCUCAGGUGAUCCACCCACCUCUGCCUUCUAAAGUCCUGGGAUUACAGACGUGAGCCACCGUGCCCAGUCCCAGUUUUGGUUCUUUUUGUUGUUGUUGUUCUUUUUUUUUGCUCUCGUUGCCCAGGCUGGAGUGCAAUGGUACGACCUUGGCUUACCACAACCUCCACCUCCCAGGUUGAAGCAAUUCUCCUGCCUCAGCCCCCCGAGUAGCUGGGAUUACAGGUGUGCACCACCACGCCCAGCUAAUUUUGCAUUUUUACUAGAGACGGGGUUUCGCCAUGUUGGCCAGGCUGGUCUCGAACUCUUGACCUCAAAUGAUCCAUCCACCUCAGCCUCCCAAAGUGCAGGGAUUGCAGGCGUGAGCCACCGUGACCAGCUAGUUUGAGUGUUUUCUAUCAAUCCACCUUUGUCUACUGACUCUUCCUCACCUUCAUAUUGUUACUGAGUCCAUCCAGUGAGUUUUAAAUUUUUGUUGUUGUAUUUUUGUUUUAAAAUAUCCAUUUGAGGGUAGGUGCUGUGAAUCAUGCCUGUAAUCCCAGCACUCUGGGAGGCCGAGGCGGUCGAAUCACUUCAAUUCAGGAGUUUGCCACCAGCCUCGGUGACAUGGCAAGACCCUGUCUCUACAAAAAAUACAAAAAUUGUGCUUGCUUUGGCAGCACAUAUACUAAAAUUGGAACGAUACAGAGAUUAGCAUGGCCCCAGCGCAAGGAUGACACACAGAUUCGCGAUGCAUUCCAUAUUCUUGCUAUAGUCCGCUGCCCGUUACCUCGCUUUGCUUCCCUUCCCCGUAUCCUGCCAUAACGUCACAGGGCCCGUGACGUCAUAGCCUUCCCAUGUCCGUCUCCCGUUGCACCAUUGAGGUUGGCGAUUGGAGAACAAUCUCGCCAUCCCCACUCAGGCGUGGCGCCUUGCCACCUGCCGCUGUAGCCCCCAUAAAACAAUAAAUAAAAAUAAAAAUACAAAACUUAGCCAGGCAUGGCGGUACACGCCUUUAGUCCCAGCUACUCGGGAGGCUGGAGGUAGGAGGAUCACUUGAGUCCGGGAGGCAGACGCUGCAAUGAGCUGAGAUCAUAUCACUCCACACCAGCCUGGGCAACAGAGUGAGACUCUGUCUUUAAAAAAGAGGGCCAGGCGAGGUGGUGCAUGCCUGUACUCCCAGCUACUUGGGAGGCUGAGGUAGGAGAAUCGCUUGAACCUGGGAGGCGGAGAUUGCAGUAAGCCGAGAUCCGUGCCAUGGCACUCUAGCCUGGGCAACAAGAGUGAAACUACAUCUCAAAACCUCAAAACAAAACAAAAAAACAAGGCCAGGUGCGAUGGCUCAUGCCUGUAAUCGCAGCACUUUGGGAGGCCGAGGUGGGUGGAUCAUCUGAGGUCAGGAGUUCAAGACCAGCCUGGGCAAUAUGGUGAAACGCUGUCUCUACUAAAAAUACUAAAAUUAGCCAGGUGUGGUGGCGGGCGCCUGUAAACCCAGGUACUCGGGAGGCCAAGGCACUAGAAUCGCUUCAGGAAGGUGGAGGUUGCAGUGAGCUAAAAUUGCACCAUUGUAUUCCAGCCUGGGUGACAGAGCGAGACUCCAUCUCAAAAAAAAAAAAAAAAAACCCAGAAAAACUGAUAAAAGGAUAGUAAGGAUACCAAGCAACUCUACCCAUAUAAAUCCAACAAGCUGGAAGAAAUGGACCAAUUUCUUGAAAACUACAAACUACCAAAAAACACUCAAUAUGAAACAUAAUUUUUAAAGUCUUGUAACAAUUUUAAAAAUGGAAUUCAUGGUUUUUUAUUUUAUUUUAUUUCAUUUCGAGACUGCGUCUCACUUUGUCACCGACACUGGAGUGCAGUGGCAUAAACACGGCUCCCUGCAGCCUUGAAUUCCUGGGCUCAGGUGAUCCUCCCACCUCAGCCUCCUGAGUAGCUGGGACUACAGCCGCCCACCACCACACUCAGCUAAUUUUUUUAUUUUUUGUGGACAUGGGGUUUUGCCAAGUUGCCC
rnacentral:lncRNA from 1 species